rnacentral:rRNA from 1 species
UACGUAGGGAGCAAGCGUUGUCCGGAUUUACUGGGUGUAAAGGGUGCGUAGGCGGCUUUGCAAGUCAGAAGUGAAAUCUAUGGGCUCAACCCAUAAACUGCUUUUGAAACUGCAGGGCUUGAGUGAAGUAGAGGUAGGCGGAAUUCCCGGUGUAGCGGUGAAAUGCGUAGAGAUCGGGAGGAACACCGGUGGCGAAGGCGGCCUGCUGGACUGCGACUGACGUUGAGGCCCGAAAGCGUGGGGAGCAAACAGG